ACGGAGCCACAGCCCGCAGCGCCCGACCCCACGGCGGACGCCCGGACGCCUGACAGCGCCUGCUGCCCGCGGGCCCCUCCCUCCCCGCGGCCCAGGCGGCUGGAUUCCACCCGCACCUCCAGGCCCCAGUGACUUUGACUCAGCUUCUGUCUGGCCUAACAGAAAAAGUGACUCAAUUUGUAACCUUGGCAGUGUGUCAAGUCCUUCAGAUCUUUAGAGACAGAAAGUGGACUCUGAAUGUCAGCAUCAGGCCAGGCUGGUUCCUGCAGCUGCCACUCCACAAGACCAUUGAGUCUGCUGUCA